UCUCUCUCUCUCUCUCUCUCUCUCUCUGCUCUCUCUCUCUCUCUGGAAGAGAGUACUUAUUACAUAAAUGAAGUGGUCCUUACAUGCUGAUCAUUCAAUGUUGCUAAACAGAUUGUUGAUGUCAUCAAUAAAAUUGAAUAUACAAGCCUUUGUGUGUGAUAUACUCAUCAUCAUGUAGUUAAAUAAAAACCAUGUAGAUUAAUCAUCAAAAUGAUGCGCGCAGAGAAAGUAUAUUGGUGACUGAGCAGAACGGUAAAUUAGUAUAUUGUCUUGUGUACUAUAUUAUUUGAGGUAGGCCCCAAUAAUUUUACAUUGAGGUUUUAUAGAGAGAGAAAAAAAUCAUAUUUACAAAUUACACAAAGUAUUGGUACUGGUAGACCCGUUGAAUGAAGUUGAACCCUACAUGGCCUUAAAAGCCCACAAAGUCUCUCUGAAACCCUAACAGCAACACUUGGUUACAAACACCUUUGCUUUGCCAUUAAAGUCAUAGUCAUAUGCUUCAGAGAUGAAUUGGCUUUUGGUGAAGGGACCAUUAACCUCUCUCUUUCUCUGCUUCUUAAUUCCUCCUUUUCUUCGAUGCAACUCCUCCACUACUCUUUUAUCCAUGUAUCUUUCUUUUUAAGAACAAAAUAUUUUUUUUAUAUUAAAUGUAUCUAUCUAUACGUUCUCGUACAUUGCUUCUUCUUUCUUUAAUUUAAAUAUGUGUUUACUAAUUGACAUGAUAGGUUAUAUAAAUAUGCACUACAUGAAAAACAAACCCUUAACGGUAUGGAAAUUGUAAAAAAAAAAUUGAGAAUGAUCGAAAUGGUAAUUUCGUAGACACUUUUAUGUCGUAUCUUAUACGUUAUUUGAAUAAUAAGGAUAAUAAUUGCCGCAAUCAUAUAAGAUUGUAGCUCAUACCCAAAAUUGUAAACAAUAUAUGAUAUAAAUUAGAUUGUCAAUUAAAUCUAAUUAAACAUAAUAACCUAUAUAUAUAGUUACCACAGAAAAUAUCUAGAUGAUAAGCCCUAUAAAAUUGUGGUGUUGAUAUUUUUUAAACCACAUAGACAAUUAUAAUAUUAUAAUAAAAUAAUAUAAUUUAUUAUUUCUAUAUUAUAAUAACUAAUAUAUUAUAUUAUAAAAUCUUAUACUAAAAAAAAUAUAAUUUCCGACCACCAGGCCGUGAGACUUUCCCAGGUGAUGUUUUCUAUUUACAUUCUCGUCUCUUAGAAAGAGCGGCUAAACGAUCGGUUUUUAUCAUUUGUGAAUAGAAAUAGUUAAUAUUAAAUAUAAAAUAUAUUUAGUAGAUUGUUUAUAAAUUGUUACAAUUUAUGAAUGCAUAAAAUGUUUAACUAAUAAUCUAGACAUCUGUUUAAUCGUUAUAAAUCUUAGGGGUUAACACAUGUUAUGGUUGGCACGAUCCCACAUGAAUGAACUGAACUAGACUUGAAUUUUAAAACCACAAGACCUAUCAUAAACGGACCGGAUUGAAUUAGCUACUUAAUUAGCUUAUAAUCACAAGAUUCACAACACAUUUGAUAUACGAAACAAUUAUAUAUUUGCAUGAAAGCUGAAAUGAAAACAAAAUUAAAGAUUUAGAUUUUAGGGGACAAGCAUAUCUUGUACCAUUAUGACAUUGUAACUCACAAGCUAUAAUAUACAUCAAUUUAUGGUGAUAAAUAAGUAACAUAUUAAUAGCAUACAUCGGCUUCUUAACAACAAACGCAAGCAAAGUUAAAGAACAUGAGCCCACCGGUCUAUUUAAGAGUUAGAUACUCUAGAUGCUAACUCUAUAGUACAUAGGCAAUCGUUAUCAACUGAAUUUUUUUAGUUUUGUUAGACCCUAAUAUAAUGCAUACUACUUGUAGAGAAACAUUACAAGACAUAAUUUUUAUCACAACGUUUUGGAAUCCUAGAAAAAAAAUAGCGAGUUUUAAUUGUGUUUUUUUGUGGACCACCAUUUAUAUAACUACGAAUGGAGAAAGCAUCUUUUCAGAGUCUGCAUUAACGAUGUUAGAUGUAUGUGGGGAAGCUUUCUAUAGAUUGUCAUAUAUGUCUCCCAUCUCUUGUCAAUUUCAUUUUCAUUCAAACAAUACCUAUCUUGUUGACUUGAAACUUUCACGUUUUGGUCAACACCCCAGCUAUUUGCUCAUGAUUAAGCAUCACUGGAAGAACUUCCGAAACGAUUGAGAAAUAAGAGGUAAAGAAAAGAAAA